UACGGAGGAUGCGAGCGUUAUCCGGAUUUAUUGGGUUUAAAGGGUGCGCAGGCGGCACGGCAAGCCGGCGGUCAAAUCGCGGGACUCAACCCCGCCCAGCCGUCGGAACUGCCGGGCUAGAGUGGGCGAGAAGUGCGCGGAAUGCGUGGUGUAGCGGUGAAAUGCAUAGAUAUCACGCAGAACUCCGAUUGCGAAGGCAGCGCACCGGCGCCCUACUGACGCUCAGGCACGAAAGCGUGGGUAUCGAACAGG
rnacentral:rRNA from 1 species